rnacentral:tmRNA from 1 species
GGGGCUGUUCUGGAUUCGACAGGAUGGUUUGAGCUUGGUAAGCAUGCGAUCACGUGGAUCUAAAGCACAUCGGCUAAUAACCGGAAAUUCAAAUUACGCUUACGCUGCUUAAGAAGAAGUAGCGAGUUUCUUUAGGGCAGCCUGCGGCCCUAGACAAACUUCAGUUAGCAGGAUAGCGAAGCGUGUCGCCGCCUUAGGCCCGUUAGCAAAGUUAACAAGGCUGGUCAUUUGAUAGUUUGUCUUCUGGCAGUCAAGUGAUAAGAAAAACCAGAAUACUAAGCAUGUAGAAAACCAAGUAAUCUGCCAUUUUGGACGGGGGUUCAAAUCCCCCCAGCUCCACCA